rnacentral:rRNA from 1 species
UACGUAGGGGGCGAGCGUUGUCCGGAUUUAUUGGGCGUAAAGAGCUCGUAGGCGGCUUGGCAAGUCGGGUGUGAAAACUCCAGGCUCAACCUGGAGACGCCACUCGAGACUGCUAUGGCUAGAGUCCGGUAGGGGACCACGGAAUUCCUGGUGUAGCGGUGAAAUGCGCAGAUAUCAGGAGGAACACCGGUGGCGAAGGCGGCUUCCUGGACCGACACUGACGCUGAGGCGACGAAGCUAGGGGAGCAAACGGG